rnacentral:rRNA from 1 species
AGCGGUAGCACAGAGAGCUUGCUCUCGGGUGACGAGCGGCGGACGGGUGAGUAAUGUCUGGGAAACUGCCUGAUGGAGGGGGAUAACUACUGAAACGGUAGCUAAUACCGCAUAACGUCGCAAGACCAAAGUGGGGGACCUUCGGGCCUCAUGCCAUCAGAUGUGCCCAGAUGGGAUUAGCUGGUAGGGGGGUAACGGCUCACCUAGGCGACGAUCCCUAGCUGGUCUGAGAGGAUGACCAGCCACACUGGAACUGAGACACGGUCCAGACUCCUACGGGAGGCAGCAGUGGGGAAUAUUGCACAAUGGGCGCAAGCCUGAUGCAGCCAUGCCGCGUGUGUGAAGAAGGCCUUCGGGUUGUAAAGCACUUUCAGGGGGAGGAAGGCGGUGAGGUUAAUAACCUCAUCGAUUGACGUUACCCGCAAAAGAAGCACCGGCUAACUCCGUGCCAGCAGCCGCGGUAAUACGAGGGUGCAAGCGUUAAUCGGAAUUACUGGGCGUAAAGCGCACGCAGGCGGUCUGUCAAGUCGGAUGUGAAAUCCCCGGGCUCAACCUGGGAACUGCAUUCAAAACUGGCAGGCUAGAGUCUUGUAGAGGGGGGUAGAAUUCCAGGUGUAGCGGUGAAAUGCGUAGAGAUCUGGAGGAAUACCGGUGGCGAAGGCGGCCCCCUGGACAAAGACUGACGCUCAGGUGCGAAAGCGUGGGGAGCAAACAGGAUUAGAUACCCUGGUAGUCCACGCUGUAAACGAUGUCGAUUUGGAGGUUGUGCCCUUGAGGCGUGGCUUCCGGAGCUAACGCGUUAAAUCGACCGCCUGGGGAGUACGGCCGCAAGGUUAAAACU